AGCCCAAGGUUGCAAAUGUAUCUGAACAGAAAUGAAUCUGCCCAUCCUAGAACCUGAAUUAUGCCUCUGAAUCUGCUGCUUUGGACAAUUCCAACAGAGUUGACUGAGCUCUGUUUGGUUUUGGGGUUUGUCUAUUUUUGAGACAAGAGUCUCACUAUCCAGACAAGACUGGCUUCAAAGUCCUACAAAUCGAAUGGCCUCUGCCUUCCAAGAGCUGAUAUUGAAGGCACAUGACACCAUACCAGGCCUUUGUUUGGUCUUUUUGAGUCAGGGACUUGAGUUCUAGUUCAGGGUGGCCUUGAACUCAGAACCAUCUUGCCUCAGCCUCCCAAGUGAGUGCUGCCUUUAUAAGGGGUACAUCAUGUUCAACCAUGGCUUUCAAAACAAGUCUUGGCUACCUUCUCUCUUCCUCUUUCUCCCAUUUGUCAUGUCUACUGGAUGGGAGGUUUAUAAUGUCUUACCUGAGGUAGUCAAGAUGGUCUCUGAACUGCAGCUUGUUCCACACAGUAAUUACAGCUACAUGGGGAUGGUUCAAUCAAGAGGAUGGGAAACUCACAGAGUGACUUCAAGGCCAGCCUGGGACGCCUACUGGGACCCUAACUACCACUACCCCUUCCUUUCCUCCUUCUCCCCUUCCUCCUCUCCUUCCCCCCUUCUUCCUAUUUUUUGUUUUCCUUUUUCUUUUUAGGCACUUUAUGAUAAAUGUGAGAAUGCUGAUAACUAAAAACAUAUUGAAAUUCAGAUUCUUGUAUAACCUUAUUCAACGGAUUAGAAUUGAUUUGUUCCAAGGUAUUUUUUUUUCAAGGACAAUUCACCCAUGUUGGUAGAUGAUGGUUUUUUUUUUUUUUAAUUAUAUGGAUAAAAACAACGCAGAACAACAACAACAACAAAAAGUCACGCCAAAUCAAUCGAUGGGUCUCCUUCUCAAACUUUUUAGUCCAUUUACACAGGCAUUAAUUCUUCCUUCCUCAACUCUUUUCAGCUCAACCUUCCUCUGAGUCCCCAUGCAUGGGUCUGGACUCAGUUUCCUUCAAUGACAUGCAGCGAUUCAGAAUCGCUGUGGUUUUAAAGUAGCAUUAAAAGAAAAGCUUUAGAUCAAUCUUCAAAUCUUCAAAACUUCAACCAAAUUGAAGAGAAAUUUGAUUGAGCAAAAGAACAAUUGACAAGGCUCACAGUCCUCAAACCAGAACAGGUUCAAGCAGCUGAGUUAAGCAUCAGCAUCCUGUGUUCCUUAUAUGGACAUCACACACACACACACACACACACACACACACACACAUCAGUGGGUCAGCCCGUGAUUGGCUGAAGCUUACAUGCUGUGGAUAGCUGAGCGUCAGCUGUGUGUUUAUGAAAACGUAUUUCUGGUUUGGAUUUCAGUUUUCCAAGUUGGGUUUGCAGUUUGUUUUGUACAGACAAACUGAAGAAGUAGCCUGGGGCUAGUUAAUAUUUAAAUGGUAUGGAUAACCCCUUAGGCAAGCUCCCUUCCCUUCCUGAUAGAGUGAGUUUUCAAUAUUACCUUAGUUGUUCACUCAGUGUAAUGGGAAUUCCUUCCCUGGGAAAUAUAAACAGUAUCUAACCAUCUCCCUCUGUAAGAUCCCAACCACAAAGCAACUGAGUUUAUUGGGUUUGCUUACAAAGUGUGGGUGAAGGACUGCUAGCAAGAGCUUGGGUGAUCCUAAAACAUCCCUAUUGGAAAGUCUCAACCCAGCAUGGAUAAUGACUCCUCCUGUGGCCAUAGAUGGAGCCCACUUGCGCAUCCUCUCGGGCAACACCAACCUUGCCACUGCCUUUAUGAAAAAUUUGGAUCAAAAUGGCUGGGAGGCGUGGUCACAGUAUCAGGUGAGAGUUCAAUGCCUCUCCUUACAGUCUCUUCCUGUGACAGAAUGCCCACGAGCCUGCUUCUGAUGGACACACUUACGAGUGUCCAUCACUCUCUAGGCACAGCAGAUGAAGAUGAAGCUGUUUGGAGUAGAUGGUUAUGCUCUUUCAUUUACCUAUUUAUUUGAAAUGCCGUCGAGCUAAGGUCUUCCAGACUAGCUUUAAACUUAGAACCUCCUACCACAACCUUCUUUCUAUAUGCUGGGAUUAAAUUGUGUGACCCUACAGCCUGUGACUAGAUUGGAUUGUUCUUUCUGAACUUUUUAUUAGCAUAUAUGAAUUUUACAUAGUAAUAUCUUCCAUGGUGAUAUUUUCAUGUAUGUGUGUGUGUGCGAGUGCAUAUGCUAUGGUGUGUUCAGAAGUCAGAAGACAGUUUGUAAAAGCUGGCUUUCUCCUUCUACAAUGUCAGUGGUGGGUUUUGACCCAUCGAGCCACUUGGGAGGUUUGGAGGGCCCAUUCACAAAGGUCAUUUAAGAAAUGAGAAAUAUCAGAUAUUUACCCUAAUAUUCAUAAAAGUAGCAAAAUUACAGUUAUGAAAUAGCAACAGAAGUAAUUUUAUGGUUGGUGGUCACCACAAUAUGAAGAACUGUGUUGAAAGGUUGCAGCGUUGAGAACCACUGCUCUCUGUGACUCCUGGGGCUAUAACUGUGAUCAUCAGACUUGGAGGCAAAUUCUUAACAGAUGAGCAAAAAUUGCUGGCCCAUAAACUGAUUUGUUUUGUUUUUCUUUUGCUUUGUUUUGUUUUUUCAAGACAGGGUUUCUCUGUGUAACCCUGACUGUCCUGGAACUCACUCUGUAGACCAGGCUGGCCCCAAACUCAGAGAUCUUUCCGUCUGCCUCUGCCUUCUGAGUGCUGGGAUUAAACACAUGUGCCACCAAGGCCCAGCCACAGUCAAGCUUCACAACACACAGAUUCGAGUUCUAAUCACCUAUUCUAAUGUUUUCUUUCUUCCUUUCUUUUCCUUCCUUCCUUCCUUCCUUCCUUCCUCCCUCCCUCUCCCUCUCUCUCUUUUUUCUUUUAUAUCUUGGGCUGGUUUAUAUAUGAAUAUGUGUAAAUAGAUAUGUCAUUGCUCUUGUUUAGUAUUUAGCUUUAAAAAAAAAUCAAAUUUAUUUUUUCUUUCAAUUUCACAUUUUGUUAUUUUGAGUUCCUUAAGAUAGUUUUCUAUUCAUCCCUCUUGAAGCUAGUUAUUGUUAGCAGAUUCUAUUUCAUAGUUGUUAUUGUUAGCAUAUUCCAUGUUGUUCACUAACUAUAAACAAUACACACACCACAUACCAUACAGACACCACACACACACACCACAUGCACACCACACACAUGCACACGCACACGCACACCACAUACCACAUGCUCACCACAUACAGACAUACCACAUGCACACCACACACAUACAUAUCACACACACCCCCCACAUUCACACUACACACAUACACAUCACCCCCCCACCACACACACACCACACACACAUACACACACACCACAUGCACACCACACACAUACACACACACACACACACACACACACACACACACACACCACACAUGCACACCACACACAUACACACACACCACAUGCACACCACACACACAUACCACAUGCACACCACACACAAACAUAUACCACAUGCACACUACAUGCACACCACACACACACACACACACACACACACACACACACACACACACAAGUUUUCACAACACUUCCUCUGCUCCAGUGUGAUGUGAUUUGAAAGGAAAACCAUCAAAGAUGGCUUUUUUUUAAUUCAGUACACUUUGAGUGCUGGUGAAGUGCCAAAAUGUUUAAGUGCCCUGGCUCCUGGGACUCCCCCAUGUCCCCCUUCUUUCUCUGUUCCAAAGAAUAAGAUCUAUUAUUUGUUCUGUCCUUCGCUAUGUCCUCUAGAUUCUUGGAUGAAAUUCACAAGGAGUUUUUAAAGCCUACUUGCCCCUCUGAUGAUGGCUGGUGAUUUAAAUUUGCAUUCUAAUGUGGCUCUUAAGAGAGCAGCCUUAACCUUCCCUGUGCUUUACCGUGAAGAUUUAAAGAAAGGCACAUGGUGACCAAUACUUUGUAUAUAUCACUUGUUCAUGGUGUGCUUUCAGUUUAACAAGUGACCCUUUCUUUGUGUGUGAGGUGUAUGGUAUGUGCAUGUGUGGUGUGGUGUGUAGUAUGUAUCUGUGUGUGGUGUGGUGUAUGUGUGUGUGUGUGAGCGUGGUGUACAUGUGGUGUGUAUGUGGUGUGGUGUGCAUGUGGUAUGUGUGUGUAUGCAUGUGGUAUGUGUGUGUGGGUGGUGUGCAUGUGAUAUGUGUGUAUGCAUGUGGUAUGUGUGUGUGUGUGUGUGGUGUGCAUGUGAUAUGUGUACAUGUGUGUGAUAUGUGGUGCAUGUGUGUGGUGUGUGUUGUAUGUGUUUAUGUGUGUGUGUGUUUGUGUGUAUAUAUAUAUGAUGUGUGUGACUGUCUUUCAUAUGCAAACCAUAGUCCUCAAAGGCCAAUUUUUUGUGUAAUUUCUCUUCCGAGUUCAGUUUACAUAGUAAUGCACAUGAUAAAGACCUAGUGAAUACUUCUCAUUGAUCUUGGUGUCUUUGUCUUUAAACACUCCUUUUGAUGACCGAUAAAUGAUCAGAACCAACGACUGCUCUGACCUCUUGCCUUUACAGUAGGUCCGAAAGAGAUCAUCCUUAAAUAGGUUUGAUCCUGUCACCGUGUACCCAUCAGGACUUCUUGUUGCCUAGAGAUCUUGGUCCCAACCCUCCUUUUUUAUUUUACACAUUCUUCCAGAAUAUUCAGGGCCCUGAUCAUUAUCACUAGCGUAACCUGUAUCCUUACUGACACAGCGGACUCCAGUCAGUGGUUUCUGUCCUUCCUGGACAGGCUCCACGUAUUCUAGCUGCUGACCUUUGCUCAGCCUGUCUGCCCUCCAGGGGCACGGGCCUUCUCUGAUUGGCUUGUCCUCCAUGCCCUCUCCUGUCUUCCCCACAACAGUCUGGGCCAGCCCUGUCCUCCCCAGCUUGUCUCUUACCUUCAUCACUAAGCAGCACCCUUGUCACCCAUCUCCAAGAUCUUCCAGACACUUCUUGGUAAAGCCACCCAGGACCCCUCUUGCCCUUCUCUUCCCUCUCUUACUCUCUUCCUACUAAAGUUUGGGUACUGCAUAGCACAUCCUUCAGUAUACACCUAUAUUUGAGGUCAUUUGAUAAGGGAUUAUUGCCUCCACUUUAAACUUUUGUAAGUAGCCUGUGCUGCUUCAUCCCGGCCUCCUUGUAUCUCCUGUAGGCCACAAGGGAUGCAUACUAAAUAUUGAUGAAUACAUUGUUGAUAGUAAAAAUAGUAAAAAUUCCUGUCCCUACCUCUUACCCCCAUUUACCCUCGGGAAUUGUCCCAGUCUCCCAUUCAAACCCUUCUCUCUCUUUCCUCCAAUCCCUUCACACUUGCUGAUUCUCUAAUAGAUGGAAGUUAGAUCAGAAAAAAUGCUCAAGGUCCUGUGUAGGGAUAACUAUUAACACAGGCUU
rnacentral:lncRNA from 1 species